rnacentral:rRNA from 1 species
GACGAACGCUGGCGGCGUGCUUAACACAUGCAAGUCGAACGGAAAGGCCCUGCUUUUGUGGGGUGCUCGAGUGGCGAACGGGUGAGUAACACGUGAGUAACCUGCCCUUGACUUUGGGAUAACUUCAGGAAACUGGGGCUAAUACCGGAUAGGAGCUCCUGCUGCAUGGUGGGGGUUGGAAAGUUUCGGCGGUUGGGGAUGGACUCGCGGCUUAUCAGCUUGUUGGUGGGGUAGUGGCUUACCAAGGCUUUGACGGGUAGCCGGCCUGAGAGGGUGACCGGCCAAAUGGGGAUGGAGACAGGCCCCGGCCCCCGCGGGGAGCCGGAAGGGGGGAUUAUGCCACAAGGGGGGAAGGCCGUAUGCAGCAGCGCCGGGUGGGGAAUGAGGGCCUUGGGUUUGUAACCCGUUUUCCCCUGGGAAGAAGGGUGGGGGAGGUAAGUGUAUAAAGAAGCCCGGCCAAACUACGGC